GGUCGUCCAUGUUUUUUUUAUAUUUUUGACUGAAUUAUUAUGAUAUAAAAUAUCACAAGACUCGAUGUGGAUCAUUUUGACCAUCAUAAUUUAUGUUGAAUAAAGUCCAAGAGUGAGAUCCAUUAUAUUGGGAGAUUGAAUUGCGAGCCAAAUUUUUGACUUGAUCACAUGAUCCAUGAUUGAGAUGAUCAAUUUUUGAAAUCAAAAGAACUUUAAAAUUUAUAAUGUGACACCCCCAAGGG
rnacentral:lncRNA from 1 species